rnacentral:rRNA from 1 species
ACGCUCGACACCUACAGGCAGCAGUGGGGAAUAUUGCACAAUGGGGGAAACCCUGAUGCAGCGACGCCGCGUGGAGGAAGAAGGUCUUCGGAUUGUAAACUCCUGUUGUUGGGGAAAAAGAGGAUGGUACCCAACAAGGAAGUGACGGCUAACUACGUGCCAGUAGCCGCGGUAAGUACUGAGCGGGGCGUGGCGAAGGACG